CCUACGGGAGGCAGCAGUAAGGAAUAUUGGACAAUGGAGGCAACUCUGAUCCAGCCAUGCCGCGUGAAGGAAGACGGCCUUAUGGGUUGUAAACUUCUUUUAUACAGGAAGAAACCUUUCCACGUGUGGAAAGCUGACGGUACUGUAAGAAUAAGGAUCGGCUAACUCCGUGCCAGCAGCCGCGGUAAUACGGAGGAUCCAAGCGUUAUCCGGAAUUAUUGGGUUUAAAGGGUCCGCAGGCUGUUUGUUAAGUCAGAGGUGAAAUCCUACCGCUCAACGGUAGAACUGCCUUUGAUACUGGCAAACUUGAGUUAUUGUGAAGUAGUUAGAAUGUGUAGUGUAGCGGUGAAAUGCAUAGAUAUUACACAGAAUACCGAUUGCGAAAGCAGAUUACUAACAAUAUACUGACGCUGAGGGACGAAAGCGUGGGUAGCGAACAGGAUUAGAUACCCUGGUAGUCCACGCCGUAAACGAUGGUCACUAGCUGUUCGAUGUACAUUGGUACGUUGAGUGGCUAAGCGAAAGUGAUAAGUGACCCACCUGGGGAGUACGCUCGCAAGAGUGAAACUCAAAGGAAUUGACGG
rnacentral:rRNA from 1 species